GCAGAGACGGCAGCGGCGGCGGCGGCGGCGGCAGCGGCGGCCAGCAGCAGCAAAGAAGCAGCAGCCGCUUGAGGCCGGGAGACCGAACCCGGGGACAAGGUGCAAAACCCGGCCCGGACUCUCUCCUGGCGGGAGUGGAGAAAGGCACACACCAAUCACUCUCCUUCUCCCUUUCCCCUCACCUCCCUCUCCCUUCGCCCCUCCCCGCGCCCCCAACCUUACAACUGCCCUGAGAAUAGGAAGCCCCAGCUGCCAGAAAAAAGAAAAAAGAAAGAUCCUGAUGGAUCCCGGGAAUGAAUCAACUUUUGACCUGUGAACGUAAACGCCGAGUUUCUUCAAGGAGAUGAUUAGUUUGAUAGACCAGAAAUAAUAUCCUAAAACCUGGACUUAACUCAUUUCAAGAGCAUCAUCGAAUUAAAUAUUUUAGUUUGGCAAGAAAAGUAGCGUUUUCCUUGCACUCGACUAGCAACUCGUGCUUGGCUUUAAAAUGGGAUGUCAACAAAUAAGGUAUUUCACAUUAUUUUGUUAAGCCUUACAGAUUGUUCUUUUAGGGUAAAAAUACACCCCCGUUUUCUAAAAUAGCCGGGAAUAAAGGAACUUUGGAUCUCAUGCAUUACUCAUGAGAUCUGAUUUAAACCAUCUUCAUUUCUUGGCAUUGCAGAUUAGCAUAGGAUGCUAUUUCUAACCUCAUAAUGUCAGUGAUAAGGAACUGUUUUCUCCCCAUUCAUUAAUCAGGUCUAUAAUGUGAACUCUAUCUUUUACAUAGGCUGCCUUACUGAGAACAGGCUGUAAUACAAUGCUGAUUAUAAUGGUCUCGAAAUAUCUCUAAAUUAGAAAACAAAAUGCUAGAAGUGACUUCUUUUGGACUUUCCAUACUUUUAGGGAAAGAAAUGGGACUGGAUGUUACACUUUACACUAUAGUACAAGGAUCCUGAAACUACAAGAUUCUUGUUUCUAAAUCCUGCCUCCUGAGUUUCUUAGAUGUGACAGAGCAGAACCAUUUCAUCUUUCUGAACCUCAAUUUCCUCACAGGUAAACUGAUGAUCAGAGGCAACGUGAUGUAAUGGGUGGAAUGCCUGGAAAGACUUGGUUGAAAUCCUGAGUACUACUAUCUCUAACAACUUAAUAUGAUCCUACCCAGAAAAUCCACUAGGAUUUGUCAAUAAAGCUUUGAUCUAAUUGUGGAUGUGAUUAGUGUUUGGGGAAGAAUUUCCCCCAUCAGGACUUCCCUGAAUGCCCCACAGGAUGAUCUAUCUAUAGUGCCUGCAUCACAAGAGGGUCG
rnacentral:lncRNA from 1 species